UGGGGAAUAUUGCACAAUGGAGGGAACUCUGAUGCAGCGACGCCGCGUGAACGAAGAAGGCUUUCGAGUCGUAAAGUUCUUUUAUAUGGGAAGAUAAUGACGGUACCAUAAGAAGAAGCCCCGGCUAACUACGUGCCAGCAGCCGCGGUAAUACGUAGGGGGCGAGCGUUGUCCGGAAUCACUGGGCGUAAAGGGUUCGCAGGCGGAAAUGCAAGUCAGGUGUAAAAGGCAGUAGCUUAACUACUGUAAGCAUUUGAAACUGCAUAUCUUGAGAAGAGUAGAGGUAAGUGGAAUUUUUAGUGUAGCGGUGAAAUGCGUAGAUAUUAAAAAGAAUACCGGUGGCGAAGGCGACUUACUGGGCUCAUUCUGACGCUGAGGAACGAAAGCGUGGGUAGCAAACAGG
rnacentral:rRNA from 1 species